rnacentral:misc_RNA from 1 species
AACGCACCUUGCGCCCUUUGGCCAUUCCGAAGGGCAUGCCUGUUUGAGUAUCAUGAACACCUCAACUCUCAUGGCUUGCCAUGAUGAGCUUGGACUUUGGGGGUCUUGCUGGCCUGUGGUCGGCUCCUCUCAAAUGAAUCAGCUUGCCAGUGUUUGGUGGCAUCACAAGUGUGAUAACUAUCUGCGCUCGUGGUUUUCCACCAGGUAACCUUCAGCAAUGGAGGUUCGCUGGAGCUAAUAAACGUCUCUCCUCGGUGAGGACAGCUCUUUGAACGUUUGAUCUCAAAUCAGGUAGGACUACCCGCUGAACUUAA